UCAUCUGUGGUGGGAAGAGGCCCAUGUGAAUGCCACGUGAACCUGAGGCAUGAAAGUCCUUGCCGGCCCCACAGGGUACUGCUCCAGCUGCCGCCUCCAGGGGCCUGUCCCUCUGCAGGUCCCCAGCUCUGUCUCUCCCUCCCUCUCCUGCUCAGGCUGAGACUUGUGUUUUCCCAGGGAAGCCAACUCCAAGACCCUCUCUCCUGAGUCCCUGCCCGGAUGACAGGCUCUCUCCUUGGAAUGUUUUCCCUACAAUCCUCAUGAGAACACCGUGAGCCCAGGAGGGAAGUUCCUAUUCACAGCUGGGGAAACUGAGACCCAGGGAAGGAAGAUGACUUGGCUCAAGUCCUUCAGCUCCCCUGAUGCCUGCAGCAGGGCUCUCGCAUCAUGCCUGGCCCCGUGUGGCUCAUUGCUGGUGUGAUCUAAAUUCUACACAGUGAGUAGCAGUGGGGGGGUCUCUGAAGGGAUGUUGGAGGACGCUGCCUCCUGCCUUCCCCUGUUUGCACAAGGACUCCAAUGUGGAGGUGAGUGUCCCAUCUGGGCUCUGUCUCAGGUGUGCUUCCUCAAAAAGAAAGUGCAGAGCCCAGGCCCAGAGGCCCGGAGCUCCCCUCGACAGGCUGAGCCCCACCUUGGGCUCCCAGAUGAGGUGGUCCAGGACCGGGAACGAUUUAGUUCUGCUGAGGUUUCAGUUACAAACUCUGCCAUCACGCUGGAGCCUAGUGAGGUUCCCAGUUGGAAAAAGAAAAACAAUUCUUUCUGGCUGGCUGAAGAAACGGCUCCAGCAAGGAGCUGGCAAGUGUGUAAGUAAACACGGCUCCAGCCGGCACAGUCAGGCUCUGUCAAGACCAGCCCUGAGGCUGCAGAGGCACCAGAGGGUCUAGGAGAAGGCCCAACUGUGGGGAGAGAAGUGGGGAGACAGGCCUGCCAGCCUUGUUCAGGCAUCAGGAGAUGUUGGCCAAGGCCCACCCUGGAGAUGUCAGCCUCUCCCCACCUCUAGAGGUCUGGGAAGCUCCCACGGCCUUCUGCAGCCCCUGCUGGAGCCUGGGUGGUGAGCUCAUGAUUGCACAGUAAGUGUCCGUCUGCUCCCUCCAGAUAGUGUGUGCCUUGGGCAGGCCAUGCCCGGGUCCCUCUGCCUUCCCCAUGCAGGGCACUGAGUGAGUGCUCAGUAAGGUGAGGCACCAGCAGGAGCAGUGCCUGGAAUGCCCCUCAUACAGGGUUGGGGUUAGAGCACCAGGCAGGCAGCUCAGAUCUUCCUGUUGGGAUUCUUUGCUAAGGGAUGGCCUCAGGGCAGCCCCUAGGGCCAGGCCUACCAGCCACCUUAGGCUGCAGCUCCCUUCCUGGCCUGGAAGGCUACCUCCUGCUGCAUUUUAGGAUUUGGUUUUGGCAAGGCCCAGUCUUGGCAUCCGUGGCACAUGGAUCUCCCUGAGGCCACUUGAAUGCAUAUGAGGCCACAGAAGUCAGAUCAGAAUGGCUCACCUGGAGCCUUGCUAUGGGAGCUGGGCAGCCAGCAGGCAGAGGUGGGUGAAUUUUGCACAGCCUGGCAGUCCCUAGCAGGAUACAGGUCAUGUGCCUCCUGGAGCCAGGCAGCCUGUGGGGCUAGAGGCUGCUUGAGGCAAGGCCCCAGACAGGACCACCUGUAGAAGGGCAGCAGGGUUUCCUUCUGUCCUGAGUGGGCCACUUGGAAGCUGAUACUGCAGAAACCAUGUGGGAAGGGCAGGGUUGGGGCCCUCUGGGCUAUAUGCUCAGUAACUUUUUUUUUUUUUUUGAGACAGAGUUUCGCUCUUGUCGCCCAGGCUGGAGUGCAGUGGCGCAAUCUCGGCUCACCGCAACCUCCACCUCCCGGGUUCGAGCGGUCCUCCUGCCUCAGCCUCCCGAGUAGCUGGGAUUACACAGCAUGCAUCACCACACCCAGCUAAUUUUGUAUUUUUAGUAGAGAUACGGUUUCUACAUGUUGGUCAGGCUGGUCUCGAACUCCCAACCUCAGGUGAUCCGCCCACCUCGGCCUCCAAAAGUGCUGGGAUUACAGGCGUGAGCCACCGUGCCCAGCUGUGAGUAACUUUUUACAUUGAUUACAUGUUGAAAUAAUAUUUUGGCUAUACUGUAAGUUCAAAAAUAUUAAAAUCAAUUUCACCUGCUCUUUAUUUUUUAUGUGACUAGUAGUAAAUUUUUAAUUACAAUGUAUGCCUCACACUGUAUCCAACAGUACUGCCUAGAUGUCCUUGGGCCUCGGUUUCCUCCUCCAGAAAACAAAAUAAUGAUCCACACACCCCCACCCCGCCUGCAUGAGAGUCAAUGCGAUAUUUAGGGGCUGCUGGAAAACUUGCAGGCUUUGUUAGGGAGCCCUGACCCCAGAUUGAUGGCUUCAGGCUGACCCCUCCAGGGAAGCCCGGAAAGUUGGAGCUGAGGUCUGGAAGCCCCAUCUGAAAUGAUGCCCUGGAUAUGGCAAAGUUCUGUAUCCAGGAGACCCACUGGGCAAGGCCAGUGCCCUGGGCCUAGUUAGAACAGUCAGCCAGAACUUGGCAAGAGGCCCAGGGGAAGGCACGUGUGUGCUGUGGACCUGAAGCCUGUCCCCUAUUUGCCCUCCCAGCAACCCCGGGAGGUGCCAAGGGGCUGCUGAGCCUGUUCUGUGACAGAUGCCCUCCCUUGGCCUGGCAGGUAAGCACAGGCGACUGAGCCCGCACACGUCCCCUUACAGGCAGUGGUCACCCAUGGCCACACGUGCGCUCCCCAGUCUCCAGCGAUCCCUGUAGCCCCUCUAGGACCUGCCUCCUGCCUGAUCUGAGCAUGACUCCACCUCCUGCUCCCACUCACCUGGACAUGUUCCUAAAGCUGCCCAUUCUCCAGUGAGUUGGAUUAAGGGGUGAGAAAAGAGGGAAGGGGAGAUGCCACCUGGCUUAUGCCAGACCCUGGGCCUCCCCUCCUCCCACAUCCAUCAGUUACCAAGUUCCAAGUCCCAUCCACUCUUCCCUGGUCCAUUUCCCUCCAUCCCCCCAGCCACUGCCAAUGCAGGUCACCACUGUCACUCAGUUGGAUUCCUCAGCAGCCCCUAACUGGUCCCCUGGAGGUGGCCAUGCCCCCUUCCAUCCCUUCUUACCACUGCAAAUGCAAACUUGGCUGUUUUGCACAUCCUGGGUUUGAAUUCUGUCUCGAUCACUUCCCAGCUAUGUGACCUUGAGCAAGUUACUCAACCUCUCCAUGCCUCUGACUCCUCUACCAAGAGGGGAUAAUAACAUACCCACCUCCCUGGAACUGUGCUGUGAGGCCUCAAUGGAAACCAAGCAAAACACUUAGAACCCUGCCUGCCUAAGUGUUAGUGAUGGCUGCCCAGACCACCUGUCCAGCGGUUAGAGCUCAGGACCCGUGUGACAGGCUCUGAAGCUGCAGCCCCACAACGGGUGGCUACCUCUGCACAGGGAAAGACCUGGAUGCUCUAUUCAUUCAACAAAAUACAGAAGGCACUGGGAAUAGAGUGAACAAUGACAACCAAUGCACAGCUGCCCACAAGGUGGGCUCCUGGGGGAGGGUCAUCCCUCCGAGAAGAGGGCGGCACCAAGACCCACACACCUGAAAAAUGUGGUACUUCAUGUCGCUGAUCUCGAUGGUCUUGCUGCUGUCACCAUCCUGUUCUGAUUUAUUGGUCAUUAGUGUCUUGAACCUGGAGCAAAGGAGACAAAGCAAGGUGGGUUUUGAACCUUUUACUUCACCACUGUGUGGCGAUGGCACCAUCUGUCACCUGACCGGCUACCACAAGACGGAGCAUUUUAAAAAUUACUGCUGUGCUCCUAAAAUAAUUUUCAGCAAGUGCCAUUUUACACCAUCUUAGGAAGACAUCUGGGCUGAGCCCAAUUCUGUCCCCACCACCCACCCUACAAGCGACCUGAUGCCUGUGGCCAGAAUGCUGACUCUUCAUUCCAGGAUAUUUAUGUUUUCUAAUAAUAAAAGCAAUAACUAGGCCAGAAAGAACACCACCUCAGAGCCCCCCUUUCCUGCUGCCCUGGGUCCACCCUGUCUCAUCCCGCUGUGGGGCGAGUGGGGCUCUGCUGUGAUGUGACCGCAGUCUGAGGGGCAGAGGCUGCAGGGUACAGCCCCAGCGAGUCACUCUCUGUCACCUGGAAUCUGAAACAAGGUGCUUCUGUGCCCCUGGGCUGGGAGUUUGUUAUCUGAGGCUGCCUACCUGUUAGAAGCUGUCACCAGCAGGACUUUAUGUGCAUAAAACAGCUUUCCUUCCACCAGGAAGGUCA